AGCAGCCGCGGUAAUUCCAGCUCCAAUAGCGUAUAUUAAAGUUGUUGCAGUUAAAAAGCUCGUAGUUGAAUUUCGGAAUCAAUGGAUCGGUCAUGCCACUCGGUGUGUACUGGUUUGAUUGGUUCUCACCUUCUAAGGAACCGUGAUGUCAUUAAUUUGGUGUCGCGGGGAAUUAGGACUGUUACCUUGAAAAAAUUAGAGUGUUUAAAGCAAGCUCACGCUUGAAUACAUUAGCAUGGAAUAAUGAAAUAGGACAUUGUAUUCUAUUUUGUUGGUUUCUAGGAUCGAUGUAAUGAUUAAUAGGGAUAGUUGGGGGCAUUAGUAUUCAAUUGUCAGAGGUGAAAUUCUUGGAUUUAUUGAAGACUAACUACUGCGAAAGCAUUUGCCAAGGAUGUUUUCAUUAAUCAAGAACGAAAGUUAGGGGAUCGAAGACGAUCAGAUACCGUCGUAGUCUUAACCAUAAACUAUGCCGACUAGGGAUCGGAUGAUGUUAAUUUUUAUGACUC
rnacentral:rRNA from 1 species